GCCAGGAGACAUUUUGGGCACGCCCCAGCAGCAGGUCCCCGAAGAGCCAGUGUACGAGCGGCCAGAGCCCUAGUCAGGCUCCUUCGGAGGGCAAGCAUGGCGCGGCUUCGAGCGCUGCGAAGGACAGCGGCCGGUAUUCUUCCUUAAAUUCCUUCUGUGGCUUCUCUACUGAUUAAAACAAAAACAGCAACCAAGAAGCUCAGAGAGAUUAAGAGACAAAGGUAACAAAGUAUUUUUCCCGGGGCUAUUCUUCACAUUUUGCAUGUGUGCAUGUGUGUGUCCACCUUGAGUCCUCAAUUGCAUCAGUGAACGCUCAGAUUCUCACUGACUUUCUCUUUGCAAGAAGAACAUGUUAGUGGACGUAAUUACGUCCAUCUGUGUCAUCUCUGCGAUGUCCUCUGUCCCGGCCAGGCUUGUCGUGUUCCUGAUCCAGGGGUGCGUCAGCAAAUAGAAGCACCUGUAGUUCAUCAGCGGAGUGAAGCCCAUCAUUCUACUGGCUCUCCAGUUCUGUCUAGGACAUGGGGAUGCAGGUUCGAUCCCUAGUCGGGGAAUUAAGAUCCCACAUGCCGUGGGGCAACUAAGCCCGCGCAUCAUAACUACUGAGCUCACAUGCCUCAACGAGAGAGCCCAGGUGCCGCAAACUACAGAGCCCACGCGCCCUGGAGCCCUCACGCCACAACUAGAGAGAGAAAACCCGUGCUCCACAACUAGAGAGAAGCCCGCGAAGAGCCCGCGUGCCGCAACUAAGACCUGAUACAGCCAAAAAAAAAAAAAAAAGCAUUUAUAUUUUAUUUUAGUAAUUUUAUGACUUCUUUUCUUCUACAUUAAAAUCUAUAAUCCAUUUGAAUUUUAUUUUAGCAUGUGGUAUGAGAUAGACAUCUAAUAAUUUUCAUAAUUUUUCUCCUCUUCGUAUAUUUUCCAGCUUGAAAAUAUUUUUUUCUGUAUAUUCGGAUUCUUUUCUUAGGAUAUGUUACUAGAAGUUAAAUUUCUGGGUAAAGAUCAGACGCUCAGUUUUGAAUGUUAGGUUUGAGAUGUCCACUGGACAUUCAAGUAAGGAAGUUGAGGAGGCAGAUGGAAAUAAUGAAUUAGCUAUUCUUGGUCAUUUAUCCUUCCAGAUGAACUAUACAUGUAUUUUCUAGAGUUUGCCACAAAAAACUGUGAAAUUCAGAUUGCAGUAACUUUCAAAUUUAACGUUAAAAGCCUCAAAUAGGUGUUUAUUAAGUAAAGAUAUGCACUAUCUAUCUGUCUGCCAUGUGUUACUCUCAGUGGAGCGUUAGGAAGUCAUUAAUCAUGCAUAUGCAUUAUUUUUAGCAUAUAUAUGAAUAUGAAUAUAUAUGUAUACACAUAUAUACAUUCACCUACAUAUAUAUGAAUGACACAGGAAUAGAAAGUCCAAAAUGUUAACAGUGUUAUCUCUAAGUAGUGGAAAAUGGUUUUUUUCCACCUUUGGUCAUGGCCAUGAUAUUUAGUCUCUGUAAAAAUAUGUAUUACUUUUUCAUUCAGAGACAAACACUCUAUCCCAAGUAAUGUUAUUUUUAAAAGUCAAUAAAAAAUAUAUUUAGAGGAUAAAAACGAUGAAGAACAGAUUUUUCUUAGGCUCCUUGCAGUUUUUUAAUUUUAUCAUUUUGAUGUAUCAUGGCAAACAGGAGUUCAACAUUUGGAAAAGCCUUCAGAAGUGGUUAACAUUCUAAAUAAAUGUUACGUAAAACAGGUAUUUUCAACCCUUAAAAUGACAAAAAACCCUAAAUAUUUGGCAAUAAAAAUUAAAUACAUGGCAUAAUCAAAAACAGUGACAAAAUAUUGGAGGAACUUAGUAGGUCACCAGUACACUUUAAAUUUCAUAGAAGAAAUGGACAACUAUACCUCUGUUGAGUGCUCCAUAUUCUGUAUGGAAAACUCCAACUAGUUUUGAGUAGCCUAGAGUGACAUGGGCAUUAACUGCUCUUUUAAAUGCGUCACCCCACAGAGCUGGCCCACCAGGUUUCAUCUGAAAAGUUACCAGCUCGUAGACUCCUGGAAUAGGGAGAAAAUAAUUUAUAAAAGAUAUUCAAGAAAUUUCUCAUCAGGUUAGCGUGGUUCCAGUGGAAGGCUAAUCUACAUAUACAGAUUUGGAGGAUCGAACAUAAAAAUGUUUAUGUACACAUAUUUAUGAUUUCUUUGCAUUUCUUGCAUUUUUCCUAGCUUUUAUGUUUAGAAAGUCUUUCUCCAUGUUUAAGGGUGAGCUAUUAAGCUUAUCAUAGAGAACAAAGAAAAAGGAAGCUAUAUUAAGCUAUUAUCGGAAUGAUUUUUAAUCUAUAAAAUUAGUCAUUUAAACAAAUAAUGAGAAUUUAUGACAGGAUUAGGAUUUUUGAGCUGCCUGAGUCUAAUUCUAGGUAAGAAAUGAAUAAGAAAAGUAUUUUCUGAUCUCAUAUAUUUCCUUCUUCUUUCCAAUUCUGAGAGGAAACACUUUUUUGUUUGUAUAAUUUCCCCCUACAGGUUUCCAUUUCUAACAGGAACAGCCAGCAAACAAAGGACCCAAAGUGAUAUGUGAGAUUUUGAGGGGAAAAAAAAUGAAGAAGGUGGUUUUAUUGUUCCUAAAUGUCCAGGUAAACACUUGAAAAUCAGUUUACCUUCUGGUCAGAAGUAUGGAGCAGGUAGAAAAAAAGAAACUAGGGAACAAGUAGAUUUGAGAAGUAAAAGGAGAAAAAGUACAAAGCAACUAAAGAAUUAUAAACAACAUAGAGGCAGAUAACCAAGAUGUGACACUGUUCUAGGAGCCACUAAGUUCAUGUAGACAGUGCUGAAGGCUGAGGGGAGGUCCAGGUGGAUAGGAUCCAAAUAAGACAUUUCAAAUCUUUUGUCAUCUAAGAUACACUAUGAAGUUGGGAUUAUGGGGGAAAGAAAACUUAGUGUAUGCUUUUAAAAAGUCUGCCUUUUUAAAAUUAGGUUGAGGUAAAUAUUUCCCUUAAGUCAGUAAGAAAGUGAAAUCAGUAAGAAGAUAAAUCUUUAAUAAUUAUUUUCAAACUGAGAAAUAAGAGGAAAACAAAAAAGUUAAACUACAGUAAUUCUGCUUAACAGUUUAAAUUAAUCCAUUCCCCCCAGUUUUACAAGCAAAGAUAUACUUACUGUUUUUAGAUUAACUGUAAUCUGUGUAAAAAAAAUACUAAGUUAUGAGAAAAUAUCAUACAUUUUCCUUUACCUACCUAUACAUGUGUUCUGUGUUCUAGAUCCCCAACUUCUCAACCUUUCUUCCCAUGUAAACUUUUCAUAUUCAUACCUAAACUUUAACAGUUUUUCCAAAUUGGAAAAAAUUUCAUUAUUUAAUGCUCAUUGUUUUAAUUGUAAGCAAAGAGCUCAAAUUCAUUUUUAUCUCUAUAAUCACAAUAUAUUCUGAUAUAAAACAAAGGAUUACUUUUUCCUACGGAACUUUAGUUUUUAUAGCUUAAAAUCUUCAGUAUGUUCUUCAUUAAAAUUCAGUGUAAUUUAGAGAGACGAGCUUACCUUCUUUGGGUGGUUUUUCUAAUUUGCACCAUGGCACCAGAUAAGUAAUUUCACUCUCUUGUUUAUCAGUAAGACCCAAAAUUGGAAUGAGUAAUUGUUCUCGCCAUUCCUUAUCAUUGGCCAAGGCUUUCCGAACUUCAGUUUGAUGAGCAAAAUUGUCUUUGGGAAUAACAGGAGUAAGAAAAAUAAGUUAUUUUGGUUUAAAAUCACCUGUACACCUUUAACAUAUAUAAUAUUGUAUAUCAACUAUACAUCAAUAAAAAAAUAAAAUCACCUGUACUAUUUCUGGGUUUCAUUCAAUUUAGCAAAUGUUUAUUGAAGCCACAUAAGGACAAUAUGUUAUAUCACUAGAGAUACCAACAUAAGUAGUUGCUCAUGGCCUAAAGGGGGAGUGGCAAUGUAAACAACCAAUGAUGUCAUAUAGUAAUGGGCUUUAUAGGUGCUACCAUUUAGUAGGUAGUUGUGAGACUUAGGUAAGUUAUUGAAUCAUUCUGUGCCUGUCUCUUAUUCUGUGAAAUAGGGAUAAUGAUAUAGUAUCUACCUCCAGGGCUGUGGUGAGGAUUAAAAGAAUUGGUACAUGAAAGGAGCUUAGAACAAUGUUUGGCACCAAGUGAGUACUCCGUAUAUAUUAUUUAUUCUUAUUACUUGAGGCAUUUAAGUUAUAGUGUUAGUUUAGAGAAAGGCUGUUUCUUCAGUAGUGCUGGUGGUGGGUAGUCAGGUCAAGGUACAACUGAAUUAAAUUUAACAUAAAUGAAAUUAAGAUUUGCUUUUUCAGCCUCUUUGAACAAACAGCUUCCAAAGAAACAGUGCUAAUUCUUACUUAUUGACACCCAUUCUUUUUACCCAGUACUGUUUCUCUUCUGUUUGUUACCCGAACAGGUAUAUACAUUUAAUAACAUAUAGGCCUAGUACUAUAUUAUUAGAGCCUAAGGUUAAUGGUAAAAGAGUUUUCUAUGGUUUAUGCUAGAGAUAAGGAAUAACAUCUGUCUUAGAGCUUAAGUAAGUUAUAUCACGAUCUUACUAGUAAUUUUCUUAAUGGGACAUAAUUCUUCUUGUUGCACAUUAAAGCAUA